UACGAAAGGGGCUAGCGUUGCUCGGAAUCACUGGGCGUAAAGCGCACGUAGGCGGCUUUCUAAGUCAGGGGUGAAAUCCUGGAGCUCAACUCCAGAACUGCCUUUGAUACUGGAAAGCUUGAGUUCGGGAGAGGUGAGUGGAACUGCGAGUGUAGAGGUGAAAUUCGUAGAUAUUCGCAAGAACACCAGUGGCGAAGGCGGCUCACUGGCCCGAUACUGACGCUGAGGUGCGAAAGCGUGGGGAGCAAACAGG
rnacentral:rRNA from 1 species